UGGGUUGUGGCUCAGCGGUAGAGCACUCAACUAGCGCAUGCGAGCCUCUGGGUUUGAUCCUCAGCACCGCAU
rnacentral:tRNA from 1 species